rnacentral:rRNA from 1 species
AGGGCUUGACAUGUGGGUGAAAGGUAUAGAGAUAUACCCCUCUCUUUAUGAGACAUCCAUACAGGUGGUGCAUGGUU